rnacentral:tRNA from 1 species
GUGGCUCAGUGGUAGAGAGCUUGCUUUGCAUGCAUGAGGCCCUGGGUUCGAUUCCUUGGUAGCACA